CUUGGUCAUUUAGAGGAAGUAAAAGUCGUAACAAGGUCUCCGUAGGUGAACCUGCGGAGGGAUCAUUACACAAAUAUGAAGGCGGGCUGGAACCUCUCGGGGUUACAGCCUUGCUGAAUUAUUCACCCUUGUCUUUUGCGUACUUCUUGUUUCCUUGGUGGGUUCGCCCACCACUAGGACAAACAUAAACCUUUUGUAAUUGCAAUCAGCGUCAGUAACAAAUUAAUAAUUACAACUUUCAACAACGGAUCUCUUGGUUCUGGCAUCGAUGAAGAACGCAGCGAAAUGCGAUAAGUAGUGUGAAUUGCAGAAUUCAGUGAAUCAUCGAAUCUUUGAACGCACAUUGCGCCCCUUGGUAUUCCAUGGGGCAUGCCUGUUCGAGCGUCAUUUGUACCUUCAAGCUCUGCUUGGUGUUGGGUGUUUUGUCUCGCCUCCGCGCGCAGACUCGCCUUAAAACAAUUGGCAGCCGGCGUAUUGAUUUCGGAGCGCAGUACAUCUCGCGCUUUGCACUCAUAACGACGACGUCCAAAAGUACAUUUUUACACUCUUGACCUCGGAUCAGGUAGGGAUACCCGCUGAACUUAAGCAUAUCAAUAAGCGGAG
rnacentral:rRNA from 1 species